CCUACGGGGUGCUGCAGUCGAGAAUCAUUCACAAUGGGGGAAAGCCUGAUGGUGCGACGCCGCGUGGGGGAAUGAAGGUCUUCGUAUUGUAAACCCCUUUCAUGUGGGAGCAAAUUAAAAAGAUAGUACCACAAGAGGAAGAGACGGCUAACUCUGUGCCAGCAGCCGCGGUAAUACAGAGGUCUCAAGCGUUGUUCGGAAUCACUGGGCGUAAAGCGUGCGUAGGCUGUUUCGUAAGUCGUGUGUGAAAGGCGCGGGCUCAACCCGCGGACGGCACAUGAUACUGGGAGACUAGAGUAAUGGAGGGGGAAGCGGAAUGCUCGGUGUAGCAGUGAAAUGCGUAGAUAUCGAGAGGAACACUCGUGGCGAAGGCGGGUUCCUGGACAUUAACUGACGCUGAGGCACGAAGGCCAGGGGAGCGAAAGGGAUUAGAUACCCUGGUAGUC
rnacentral:rRNA from 1 species